rnacentral:rRNA from 1 species
CAUUACACAAAUAUGAAAGCAGACCCCCAGAGGGGCGACUUCUCGUGCCGCGUCCACUGCAGUCCUGUGCUGUUGUGCUGAAGCGGCGGGGGGAGACGCCUUUGUGGGCCAGUCUGACUCCAUAUUCACCCAUGUCUUUUGCGUACUACUUGUUUCCUUGGCGGGUUCGCCCGCCAAUUGGACCACAUUAAACCUUUUUUGUAAUUGCAAUCAGCGUCAGCAAAACAAUGUAAUAAAUUACAACUUUCAACAACGGAUCUCUUGGUUCUGGCAUCGAUGAAGAACGCAGCGAAAUGCGAUAAGUAGUGUGAAUUGCAGAAUUCAGUGAAUCAUCGAAUCUUUGAACGCACAUUGCGCCCUUUGGUAUUCCAAAGGGCAUGCCUGUUCGAGCGUCAUUUGUACCCUCAAGCUUUGCUUGGUGUUGGGCGUUUUUGUCUCGGGCCCGCCCGAGACUCGCCUUAAAAUCAUUGGCAGCCGGCCUACUGGUUUCGGAGCGCAGCACAUUUUUGCGCUUUGUCCAGUUGUGGUCCGCGUCCAUGAAGCGAAUUUUCAACGUUUGACCUCGGAUCAGGUAGGGAUACCCGCUGAACUUAAGCAUAUCAAUAAGCGGAGGAAAGAAACCAACAGGGAUUGCCCUAGUAACGGCGAGUGAAGCGGCAACAGCUCAAAUUUGAAAUCUGGCUCUUUCAGAGUCCGAGUUGUAAUUUGCAGAGGGCGCUUUGGCUUUGGCAGCGGUCCAAGUUCCUU